rnacentral:rRNA from 1 species
UACGAAGGGUGCAAACGUUGCUCGGAAUCAUUGGGCGUAAAGCGCACGUAGGCGGCCUGAUAAGUCGGAUGUGAAAUCCCUCGGCUCAACUGAGGACGUGCAUUCGAAACUGCCAGGCUCGAGUAUGGAAGAGGGUCGCGGAAUUCCCGGUGUAGAGGUGAAAUUCGUAGAUAUCGGGAGGAACACCAGUGGCGAAGGCGGCUCACUGGCCCGAUACUGACGCUGAGGUGCGAAAGCGUGGGGAGCAAACAGG